ACAUUUAUAGAACACUUCCAUGUGAUCCUGGGGGAAGACAGACCACGGGCGGAGGGCAGUGCUGAGAAGUCCUGACAUCAGGAAGAGAGGGCCUUUUCCCGGCUCUCUGCUCCUCAUGCUGAGAGGAUACUGGUUGCUUCUGGUAAAAUCCAGAGGGUCGCUGGCACCCUGAAUCACCAUGGGCAAUGAGAACAGCACCUCGGAAAACCAGCAAGAGAACUCCGGCUUGCAUAACGUCAUCCUGUGGCCUCCAAACCCCGAGCCUGCGCAGUGUUCACUUUAGGAAGCCCCACAGAAGACCUCUGAGCUCCGGGCAUGUGGAUUCCAGAGCAGAAGGGCAGCAUUCAACCCACCUGCAUUACCACUUUCUGGAUUCUUCUUGGGCUCGUCAUGAUAGCCAUUAAUGGCUCUGACACUGUGAGGGGGGAGAGAAGAACACACAAUUCUAUUAUUGUAAUGGCCUCGCUUAAAAAUAUAUGAUCGUUUAAAAAACUCUUUCUUUUGCGAGAGAGAGACAGAGAUGGGGGGGGGGGUGCAGAGAGAGAAGGACAGAGAGAAUCCCAAGCAGGCUCUGCACCAUAAGCACAGAGCCCAGUGCGGGGCCCAAACUCACGAACCACGAGACCACGACCUGAGCCGAAACCAAGAGUCAGACACUUAACUGACUGAGCCUCCCAGGCGCCCCUAAAAAACCCUUUUAAAGCAAUGUCAC
rnacentral:lncRNA from 1 species